ACGCAUGUCGCAACCCCGGGCUUCUCCGAUUUAUCACUGACGUGAAAGCCCCAUUGCACAUGCUAAAUCGAUGCCAUUCGUGUUGCAGUUCAUCUCGAAAUUCCACGAUAGAUCUGUGUCAAAGUAAUGGCAACAUCU